GGCAAGUACUCCUCGUUAGCGUUUUUUUUGUCCAGAAAAUUGAGAAGUUGCCUAUUCACCUUCAUCACUAUUUCCAAACUUCACUUUGUAAGAUAGUUUUAAGCAAAAAUAUUUUAUGAACUCUAUUGAAACAAAAAAUAGCAGCUAAAAGGCCCUGCCUGAUGAACUGUUGACCUGUAGAUGUUCUGCUAGAGUCUUUGAUCUUAGCCACGACUUAAUACAGCAUCUUCCUACCAUAAAUAAUAACUUGAGUUCUCUUUAGUAUGCAGCAUAGCAACAUUGCCCAAGUGAAAUCAGCACUUGGACCAGUAUGAGACAACUUCAGAGGCAGGUGUGCUUCUCUUAUUGAGGAAGAGGUUAUGAUGCCUAUUGCUCCCGGUGAAGAACCACUUGAUUUGAUUGUAUGUCCAGCUCAAGAGCUUGCAAGACAUUGAGGCCUUUGAUGUAUAUUGAUGGAGUUGAUAUGAAGCCCCAAAUUGAAGUUGUGAAGAAGGGAGUGUACAUUGUCGUUGCUAAACCGGGAAGGCUCAAAUAUAUGCUAGCAAUGAAAUGAAUGAACCUUGAAAAUUGCAGGGUGAAUUGUAUAAGAAAGGAUACACAACAAAAAAUGAUUCUAUGGGACGUUGAUUAUACAACCAUAGCAGGUAAGUCAACAUUUCAUUCAAAACAGUGAAAACAAAUACAUCUUAAAGUGGUAGCAACAAACAGAAAGAUAUUUUUAAACUGUACAAUAGGUUUAUAAACAAUGGAAACAAUCUGAGUAUAAGAAAUAUGAACAAUUGUAAACAAAAUUUAAUACCUUUUUAUCCUAAAGUACCAUUUCAAUUGCGUAAUAGCGCCAGGAUUAAAGUGACCUUUCACUUCCCAUAGCCGAACAACCAAGAUCUUUAACUUCCACUGCAUUUUAGUAAUUGCUAAGUCGUUGAUGAAGUGUUAACAUUUUUGAUAGAGAAUGAAAGUAUAUAUAAAUUGUGGUAAGGAUUAAAUGAAUUGAGGUAGUUUAUGAAGGAAUCAGUGAUAACAUUAAUAUUUGAUGUGUACAGGUAUAUGCAGAUUGUGGUAAGGAGUUAAAGUAUAGAAGUCGUUUAAGAAGAAAUCAUUGAUUAGAUUAACAUAUCAUUGGUUACAUUAACAUUUGAAGGUUUCUGUAGACAGCGUUAAGGGUCGUUAGAGUUGUAGUGGUAUACGAAGGAAUCAGUGGUUACAACAGAAGAUGAAUUGAAUUUAUAGAUGAAGGGGAUGAAAAUAAGGGCAUUUAACAAUUGAGGAUAAGAUUAAUGACAGUUGUGAAAUAGGUAGGAUUCCGUUGAGCAGUGGAUAAAUGGAUAAAUAAGAUGUUGAUAAAAGAGUUAUAAUAUACCUUGGUAACUUAUUGAACAAAAAGAGUUAACUCUAUAAAUUAUUUUUUAUAUUUGCUACGUUAGUACUUAUGGAAUAAAAAGAGUACAGUAUAUAAAUUAGUUAAUAUUUUUGAUACCUUAGUUUUACGAUAUUUUUUACAAUUACAAAUACAACUUAAAAGAAUGCAAAUUUUUGAUGUUAUAACUGAUCUUUAAUUGUAUUUAUCUGUUUUUAAAAAAUUUAAAAGAUACUGUAAUUGUAAAUUUGAAUGUUUAAAAAUAACUAACAUAACAACUAUUCAUUUU